ACCGCGGGCUGCAGCGCGCAGGCGCGGGGCUGCGAUCUCUUCACCUCUGGCCGAGGCCUCGUUAACGUGCGCGCGGAGGGGCGCUGGCGUUUCAGUUGCCCCCCCCCCCCCCGCCUUACACACGCAGACACCCGCGCACAUACGGACGCUCUCCGGUCCGUUGUGCUGGGAGAGAGGGGCGCUUGCGCAGUGAGGAGGGCGGGGGGAGGGUGUAAAUGGCGCAGGGUGAGGAGCGGGGCGCUCAGGUGACGGUUAGCUGUGCCGUGAGGGAGUGGCGGUAACGGUCAGUCGUGGUAGAGGCAAACAGCGCCGGGCUGACGGGCUCCGUGGAGGAAAGAGCUCUGUGUUUGCGAGCGGCUGUGUGAAAACACCCACGGUGAAAGGCUGCUUGGGAGACAGGUGCUGCCCGAGCUCACGGCAAUAUUAAUCCCCUAUGAAUAAAAAGGAAUUGAAUACAAAGAAAAGGAAAUAACAGAUCAGGCUGCUUUGUGCAGAGGAGGUCUGUUCCUCCUUCAGAAAAGAGCAAUUCUGAGGAUGCGGUUCCCCUCGUCACGCGCCCUGGGUACCGCAGUGCUCCUGAGGUAUCUGUCACAAAUCCGUCUUCUGCCCUCUUCUGCAUCGACUGCCACCGAACUGAAGGGAAUCAGGCCUCGUGGCCCCCUCGUUUGUGGGGUUAGAGUACAUAACAUAAGCCCAGAGAGACCCACAGAUCAAAUGAGCCUUAGAUUCAGAACUUCCAAAUCACUACAAGCGAUAAGUGGGCUGACUAACUGAACUUUUGCCUCCUUCAUAAAUCUGGCAGAGCAAAGAUAGCAUUUGCUUAUAUUUUUCACCGUAGUGCUGCAUAAAUAGAUGAUAUUGCCAAGCUUUGCAACAUGCGCUCAUAAAAGGAGGAAACAGAAGGUGCUAUGGUGUUUAUUAAGGACUUGCCCUUAACGUUUUCCAAGGGUCAUUAACUUUGAUGGGUCAGAGUCCAAGCUGAAUUUUCUUCUGGGGCUCAAAACCUCGUGGAAUAAAAGAGACUGGCGAGAAUCUGUUCUUGCAGGCUGUUGCUGGAGGAAUUACGAGUUGUAUCAGAGGCAGUCGCUAGGUUUUUUCACUGGUAGGGAAGAGCCAGAAAGGACAGGCUGUCAGAAGGAGGCAGCGGGGUUUCUCUGCGAGGGCUCAAUCAGUAAGGUAAUCUUGGCAUUUUUAUUUAAAAAUAAAUUCGUCUGGCAGUGUUUUCGUGGGAUUUGUUUGAUUCAUUUUUUCCUUAUCAUAGCAGAACCUCUCAAAUGUUGCUGAAAGCAGGAGUUGAAAUGGACUGUGAGAAAUGGAAGCAAAACCCUUCCCGCAAUGCUGUAAUUCUGCCCUUGCACAUUCAUUAACAACAUUUGGUGCCAGUAAUUAAGCACUUUGUCUCUCAGAAGAUCUACGCUUAACACGCAGGAGUGAAAAUGUAAACAAAGGCAUAUUGUCGUGGCUCCUCUCCCACUCAGCCAUGAGCCUCGUGGGCCAGUUAAUCCAGUUUUAUGGCCAGGUUAUACCAGCACUGCAGCACACAGUGGCUGCACCGUGACAGAUAAAGAUGCAGAGAAAAAGCCGGGGCUAGAUUAAGGCUCUGCACAGCUCUAAUCCUGCCUACGCUGAAUAUUCUCUUCCGUAUCUUCUCAUCUUACCCACAGACUCUACUCAGUCCCACACGCUGCUUCUCAGUCACCUGCAGAAGCUGCGUCUCUUCAGGGAGCAUUUGCUCCAUUUCCACACCUGGCUUAGUCCGUGCUCUCACGCAGCCUCUGCAUGCUUCACCCACAGCCACAGAAGAAAUGCUGUCUGAAAAUAGUCACUGUUUUGUCUGCUUGCUGCUGACCUGCUCUGUGUUUUCUGAUUGACUGGCUGUAAGAAAAACUUCAUUUGGCCACAUAUCUGCUCUCCCUCUCUCUUUAAAGGUUGCUCUGGGUCUCUACAUCCUCUUCCCCAGUUUGCUUCGAAUGCAUCUCAAUCUCUUGCCUUCCCCAAGGUGUCGUACAUCCCUGUGGCUAUGUACCCAGGAAAGCUGGCCAAAUCACUUCUGAUGAAUAAUUGAUCAGGUAAAUUUUGCCUCUAUUUCAGUUGUGAGUCGUCUGCAAACAGCCUGUGAUUUCUGCAAACUUAUUAUUUGAUGUUAUUUGCCACAUAAUGCCCAGCCAGCUCUGUAUUCAUGAGCAACUUGCUGGAAAUAUUUGAAAUUUGAGAUAAUUGAACACCAAGAUGAUAUGAAGCUUAGUCCUACAAGCAGCUGAGCUCUCCGGAUUCAUUUCACAAAAAGACUGAGGUACAACUCUUGCAGUUGUUUGGCUGCAUCCAGCGAGGCUUCAGUUACAAGCGUGCUUACAUGCUUUGCUGAGGCGGGGCCCAAAGCACUGAGCAUCUUGUGGGACACCCUGUUUCUGUUGUCUGACCGGGCUCGUCUGCUUCAUAAAAUUGUUUCCUUCAGGGAUUUUGCUUUAGAAAUGCUUCCUCGCAGUGAAAAACAAUACCACAUUCAAAAUUAACACACCUGCAAAGGAAAGAAAUAGUAUUUCAGGAUCUUUUAAAGCUCUGCAAUAAAUCUCUGUCUGUUGUUCUGAUUUUGAUUCAGAUAUCUCCUAAUUCACAGCCCUACGAGGCCUGCUCUACUUGUGCCUAUAACCCCAAAUUUUCUACGAUGGCCAUAUUGCCUCCUCAAUUUCAGAUAUUGUGCCAGAAUUAAUUCAGUGCUGUUGCAGAGACAAAUAUAUAUACAUAUACUAAUAAGGUCUGGAGGCAAGACACAAAAGAGUGACAGUUUCAGGUGGGGAGGCAGAGACAAAAGAAUCCCAGUAUUUAAGCAGCAAGCGGACUGGGAAGGAAGGAGCCCUUUUACCGCACAACUGCAGUGCAUAGAGAAAUUAAGAACAAACUUAUCUGCUCUCCUCCAGCUCCACUGCACCACUCAGAUCCGAAUCCCUGACGCUGCAUUUCUCACACAAUGUCUCUUCUCUCCAUCAUUUUUUCUUCACAUCAGAUUUCUUUUCAGGGAGGUCCUGUUUCUGGACUGAUGUUUGCUUCACCUUUCCUUUCUGCUCUCCAUAUUCCUCCUUUAUACUGCAACAGAGACUUCUGCCUCUGAACAGCCUGUUUUGCCCCAUGGGUUUUCAAGCAUAACUCCCCAGAACCUCUCUGUUCAUUCCUUUUGCUUUCAGACUGACUGCUCAGAUUAUGUCACCUUUAGUCCAACUUGUCUGUAUGGCUCUGCUUACUGCUUUUCGUAGGUAACACACAUCCUUACAAAGAGACCAGCAGCCUCUCUGCUGCAGUCUGUGUUACAGAGGUUACAGUCUCAUUUUUAACAUGAUGCAGAGAUGAACAUCAAAAGACAGCCCAUGUCUCAAAAAGCUUGCAAUUUGGAGAGAUGGCAGGCAAAGAAUGAGGGAAAAUAGGAUUAGCAGCUCCUUGAUCGGGGAGAAUGCAAGGGUCAGGCACAGUUCCUCCAGUGUCACAGUGGAGAUGCUGGUUGGACUAGGACCUCAGAUAGUGUGGGGGUAUACUGGGGCUGUGCAGUCCACUCCUUUCAUCACAAUGCUGUUUCACCUUUCUCCUUGAUGUUGCUUCCCAUCCUGUUCCUCCGCAUGAAGGGAACAGCCCACUCUCACACACUGGUGCUUCUUCCAGUGCUCUGCCCACUCCUUCCCACACACCUUGUAAGUGGUGAGCACCAAGAGCAGAGGAGAGCAGACUGCCCAUUGCAUGUACAGGCUCCUGCUUUCCCCUACACACUCCUCCGGCUUCUUCGAGCAAGCUGCUUUCUGGCUCUGGCUCUGUCCCUCUCUCGUCACCUCUGGACUGGAGAAAGGAUGACCUCAAACCUCUUAUUUCUGAGAGUCGUGGCUGGCCCUGUGGAUCUCGCAGCUAACAGUAGGGAGGUUGUGCCAUCUCACAAGGCUCUGCUCCUCCCAGCUGCUAGCUAACUGCUUUUUUGGACAUGGAGCACAGAUGAAACAUGAUUUUUAUUUUCAUAUUUGUAAAAAAAAAACUAAUUCAGAAUCUCCUCAGGAAAGGGAGAGGUAAUCACUAGGAGGACACAUCUUUUCAGGUGGGUUUUUCAGUCUGUUUCUCACCCUCUGCCACUUUGGCUACGCUUACUUUCUCUAGCUCAAUUCUUUAUAUACAUUUCAAUGGUUUUCAUCAAUGCAACCUUUGAACGCCUUUCUAUUUUAAUCAGUUACAUCUAACCAAUGACCAACUUAGGUGGUUUGGGAAGUUGUUGCUAUGCCUUCUUAGCAAUGGCAAAUGAAGGCAGAGAAACUCAGUAACACAUCCUCAGUUACCUAUGCGGCAGGUAGGUAAAAUAGGCAAACUGUGCCCUGAGCCAAGGACCCUACUUAGCUCACAGAGAUCCACAGCCUGACCAUCCUCCCGCAGAGGGACAACAAUGGUCUCCUGAAGCUUGAUUCAGAGCUCCUGGAAGUGGGAUUUGCCAUUGCCUCAUCCAAGUUGCUGCUCAAGACUGCCACGGUGAGUCUCUCUUCUCCCUUUAUUACAAAGGAACACUGAAAAUAUGUACUAUCAGCAUUUUGGGGAUUGUUAACUAAGACUUGGGAAGCACUCACAUAAUACAGAGGGUGAGGCUGCAAUCUGGCAGAUUCCAUACAGAUGGACAAACCACAUUUUGCACCAGUAAGAAAAUGAGGGCCACGUUGUUUCAGCCAGCCUCGUAGUGCACUGUCUGCUGUAGACCUCAGGAGUGCUCUGGGGAUGCUUUUACACGAGGAACCAAAUUGGUUUUGACCUCAGCGAAGAGGGGGCCAAGAGGGACGCAUCUGACACCUUUUAGCAACCACAGGGUUUUCUGUCAAGUAGACACAGCCCGCAAGACAAACUCACAGCUGGAGUUGGGGUGCUUUUGAAAACAUUGUCUUUAUUCUCUACCUCCCUUUCUUCCAGGACAGGCGCUUUGCUUAUUCCCUCUUCAGAAAGGACUUUUCUGGCACACAGCCUAGCCUGGCUGGAGAUUAGGGAUUCUCUCUGCCCCUUCAUCCUUGAAUAUUUCCUUUUAAUUUCACAGUUUAAAUUCCAAUUGUGUAAUUACAUUCUGCCUACCCUGAAUUCCUCUGUAAUUUCAAUUGGACACGGUGUCCUUCACUCUCUAGUUUGAACUCUCACAGUGCUGUGGGGCACUGUUAAGAGGCUGCCACGCUCCGCUCUGGUCCCAUUUCAUGUAUAUGGAGAAAGAGAAUGGGCCUAGAUCCCUUUGAACUGAAACUGCUGCUCCAUAUAGAGGAGACAGGGGUUGCUAUAGAGUGACAAGGCAGUCUUGCCCCACGGCAGUACAUUGGGCAUUUCUUACAAUGCCUCGGUCUGAACGAAUUUUUGGAGUAAAAGCCUGUCUGGAGGUAUUUCUCCCCCACAGUACAUACCCUUUAAUCUCAAGUAAAGCUGUACAGAGACCCCCAAACCACUACUUUGCUGAAUUUAUGUGGCUUGAGAGUACCUGCUCGCACCAUUUAACAUAGCAGAAAUGCCAUAGUGAUUUAAUUUAGGUCUAGGGAGUUGUGUAGCAAUACAAGGACAGGUAGCACAGAUGCCUAGUUCAGUAAAACGCUUUCCAAAAACAGGCAAAUCCCAAGCAUUUUAUGACCCAACCCCAAUAUUUCCUGCUGAUGUUGUUCCGCCAGCAUUUUCCCUCAUUCCCUGCCCUGGUGACAGUCACCGGAGUCCCACAUCCCAAUUUGUUUCCUCGUGACAUCUUACAUCCCAAAAUAUUCCCGCUUGUCCUGCCUCCUUCCCUGUGGCACAGCUACUUAUCGUGUCAGUGUGCCUGCAUGCUGCCCCUCAGGUGUCAGAGAGACUCACCUUCCAUAUUUCCACCACCUUCUGCUGUGUUGUUGUGUGGAAACUUCUGGGGGACGGAGAGAAGAGGAGGCAGCAAAUGUCAGUGAGAUAGUCCUCCUCAGUCUUGUCUGUUUUGGAACAAACUUCCGCUUCUCGCCUGAGUUUUAUGGCAGGCUGAUGGUAAAGAGCUGCUCACCUGCUUUAAAAUGUUUAUAUGCUACUCAGCAAACCAGAAUGGGUUUACUACAGAAACAGGAAUUACUUCACAUGUAAUCAACCCGUCGCCACAUUCUUUUCACCGUGUUUCCGCCAUUGUCAGAAGCACAUGGGGCUGAUACUGUCAUUAGCAAGAGUCCUUCACCGGAGCUCACUUCCCUCGCUGGAAAAGCACUCUGGAUAAUCCCACCACUGCACAAAAAAAGCAUCAAGAUUCUUGCUGGUGGUACUACACCUACAUGGAGACUCUGUCACUUUGGCUUUUGAUGGGACUUUCGCUUUGUAUAUACUGCACAACUGGUCCUGCUCCCGAGGGAAGCCUUUAUGCUUAGUUCCAUGGUGGCAGACCUGAGGCUGCUGUUCGUGUCUCUAUCCGCAAACAGCAAAUAGAUCAGAUGAGAUCAAGUAGACCAUAUUUCCAUGUUUCCUUGGUUAGCUUAUACUGUUAAAAGUGAGCUGUUGUUAGGAGGAAACAGAGCAUAUAAUAACUAGAGUUGGGUUUUGUUUGGCUUUGAGUCAUAAAUCUGAAAGGAAAGGAAAGAGCCAUCACGUUCAUCCCCAGGUUUGUCAUACAAUCAGCAAGGGGCAAGGCAGUAGUAUGGGCAAGAAAAUGAAACAUGUGAAGGUACAAGUGCCAGCGGGGGGAAGUCACUGUUGCUUAUUGUCAGUUUUGGUGUGACACAGAAAGUUCAGCUAAUCCUCUUAGUUACAGAGACACACGGGUGGGGGGAGAUUGUUAUCUCAAGCAAUUUGCUGGCUCUACUCCUUUUUUCCUUCGAGUUUCUUUUCGCCUAAUUGAACAGCAUUUCUUUCUGGGACUGGUUUGCAAUAAUCCUGGGGCCUCGUCAGGGAAAGCACUAAAAAACAGGGAAAGGAGAAGCAGCCUGAGCAAGGCAGCCAUCAACACAAGCUUCUCUCUUCACAGAGGUAUCAGAUUUGACUCCAAGAGGUGAGGGUUAGAAAAAAAGAUAACAGUUCGAAGUGGUAACGAGAACGUUGGCCAUAGUGAUCACUCAGAAAGGUGUGCCUGGGACAGGUCAUUAACAGCUGCCCAGACACUCGCGAACUGGAGGGUCUGAGGUGGAGCAAGGCAAAGGUUGCACUGGCGCCCAUCAGAAACACCUGGAUUCCACUUGCAUUGCCAAAGGGAAGUUUGUGUGGUAAAUCUAAUCGACAAUCAAAAGGUGAAGCAGAACAAUAAUAACAGGGGAUGUUUGUUUUUAUUUAUAGAGGAGAUAAGGAUUCGACUACAGGUGUUGAAAGAGAAAAGCCACCUUAUUCUGAGGAGACAAUUAUUCCACCCACGCUCAUUCAUCAUCAAGGUUUUAGUACUAUAUUACUAAGGGUAUUUAAAAAUUUCUCAGCCUCAGGGUUGGUAAUGUUUGUGCAAGCACCCUGCCGGUUGCCACAGGUGUCAUUUUACAAAAGAUCUGGAUAAUUACAUGGUAUCGCCCUGAAGAUGGCAGCAGCCAGGGGCAAUUCUUCAGCAGAUGCUGUUCCUGAUCCUGGAGCAGGGUUGGUGUUACCAGCCGGUAACCAGGUUUAGAAACCAUUCCAUGUGCAGACAGAGCCGUAGCCCCCUGUCAUUUCCUGAAGGCUCGAGACUGCUUCCAGUGCUGUACAUCCUAGGGAAGUGAGGCUCUGGUUCCCAAGCCUUCAUGAUUCACCCUGGAGAAGCUGAAGAUAUUGUCGUCUUCAGCUUGUGUUAUUAGGCUGGGAGGUGGUCAACCCAAAGAAGAGCUGUCUUGGCGAACAGCUUGUUCACUGCUAACUAUAUCAGCUCAUGGCCUAAUGCACUUAUGUAAAUUACCGCUGAUACCAAUUUACUCCAAUAUCCUGAACUGAGAAUGGCAGAACCGAGGAGCGUAUCAAUGCAUUUCACUGUGGUGGUUAAAGAAUUCAUUGCCCCCCAGUUGAGGAGCUGGGUUACCAUUUCAGUUAGGGCAGCUAAAUCCAACAGAGACCAAGUAGAACACUCAGACAAGAAAGAAGGGGCCAUAGCAGAUAGCAGUAACAAAGCAACUGUAAAAUAAGUAGUGUACCGCUUCUAAGAGAAAAGACAUUCUUCCGAUGUCAUACCAGCAUGGGUCAAGGAAAUGGCAAGUUUGAUACAUGCUUCACACCUGGACCUCCUUUUUGAUUUAGUGUGCAUUCUCCAGUCUCGCUCUAGCUUUGGCUGAUCUGUGGCCUUGGACCGCCUCUGGGCUCACACAUUGGAGGGGGUACCUCGUUCCUGUGACACACACACACACAGUGCCUGUGCACUGAUUUCCAGACAAAGGAAACCUUGGAGGUGGAUCAAACAGGAGUCAUGAUGCAUCACACCAGGCUUUUGACUCUGAUGCUUGGAGGGCCUGCUGCUAAUUUUUCUACCAUCACGUCACUUUGGACAGAGCUUCUGAGACUCUCCUGGACACCUGCAUAAUGUCAAUGACUGUGUUUCCUUAUUUCAAGUAGAUAUUUCCACAUAGAUAUAUUGUGGGAGUAAAUGCAUUUAGCAGUGUAAUUACCAGAUGCUGCAGAGGUGAGGGCAUCUUCAGCAGUUUUUUUCAGUUCUUUUAUUUCUUCGAAGGUAUUGUUUGCUUAUACAGACCUUUAACAUUUAUGAUUAUAUUGUGCAGAGGGACAGAGGCAGAAAGACAGGGGCUUGCAUCUGUGCAAUGUGUGACCAGUGUGAAGCAGCCCUUGGAUCACGAGCGAGACAGGGAACGCUGCGCUAUGACCUCUCUGGGCGGCUGCAGUGUUUCACACAGCGCAAGGAGGGGCAAGGGAAGGGCAGAAAUUGCUGCAUUCAAGGACCCACCUCUUCCUCAUGCAGGUCUACGCAGCCAGCUAGUUGCAUGCAGGACUAUACCGUGCUCUUUAACCCUAUCAGUGAGCAUUUCAGUUUCUAACGCUGAAAAUGCUUGGACAACUCAUAUGUAUUUUAGCCACAUGGAUACGCUUUCUGAAUCCUACUCUGUAGUAACAGACUGCAAUUCUGACACUGAUAUAGCAUUCACAGCUGUAGAGAGUGUAAAGCAUUUAUAAACGUAAAAAAUAUAUGCAUAAUGACUUCAAAAAAAGUGUUCAAUGAACACUAAUAAAUAUUCUAUGUUUCAAAUACGUUAGAUUUAUGUUAAUCAUAAAAUGAAUGUUUAAAGCCACUAGAAGAAAGAGACAGCAUUGCCAGGUGAAUAUCAUGAAUGAAAAAACAUUAACCACUGCGAACAAGACCAUCGUAUUUCCCAGUGGCAGCUCCCCAUCUUCCUCUAAUUCCCUCCUCCCUUCCCUCUCCCUCCUCAGACACAUACGCAUACACUAUGGGAGGAAUGACAGCUGUUCUUCAUGGAAUGACAGCCCAGGGAUAUUGCAUCCUCCCUUAAAAAAAAAACAGGCAAGGUACAGAAUAAGGUCAGUGAAGGGAGACAAAGGGGUCUCCCGGAGAUGGCAAAGGGUAAUUUAUUGACAGAUGAGAUAGACGUUACUACAGAAAAAUAUUAAAUGGAUUCUUUUCUUCUUUUCCCCCAUCUUUGGAGGGGAAAAAAAAAAUAUAUGUGGGAAGGGUUAGGAAGGAUAGAUGCCAGAAAUAGAGAGAAAUUUCCCAGGAGGGGAAGGAGAAAUCCUGAAGGAAAUUAGGAUCGCAGCACAGAAAAAAAGGAAACUGGAAAAAAUAAAAAAAUAAAAGGACAUCUGAAGAGCUAAGAAAUUCUGUAUGGAAACAGCAAAAAAGGGCAGUGGAGAAGGAACACCACCACUAACAGCGGCACUGCUUCAAAAGCACUGUGAGAGAAGGAAGUGCUGGUAAAACAGAGCCUGAUUAAAAGCCAGUGUUUGAAAAGGGCUGUCGGGAAAUUGAAGAGCUGUGCAUGCACCCGACGUCAGCAGUGAGGAAGACUGCAGGAGCGCUAAUCAAAGUGAGGCUGAGGGAGCAUAUGGAGCACGGAGAUUUUAUUAAGGACAGUUGUGAACCAGGGCUCAUAUAAUGGGAGCAGCCAAGCUCGGGAGAUGGGAGCAAAGAAAAGGCCAGGUCUUCUGGUGCAAUAAACCGCCGUAGCACUGUCAACUUUGACAGUAUGUGAGUUUCCGCUGCAAGGAAAUGACCUGAGUGAAAGGCUUAAACAGUGGAUGUUAUUAAUGUAGCUGUUCUGGCCUAGAGUAAUAGGUUUUCCUAAAUAAUUGUGCAGGAGAGGGAGGGAAAAAACGCUGUGCAGGUGUGCUCUAGGCGGGGUUCUGUGAGUCCCUGCUGCCCUCCGCCAAGACUGCAAGAUACCAACAGCAAGAUACCGAGGACCAGAUUCUUAGAGCCUGUGACGUGAGCAGAGUUCGUGAUUUCCACCAGUCAGGGCCAGAUUAACGCCAGAGGAACAACCAAGGAAAGGUUCCACAGAGAGGAAAGCAACAGAAUAAAAUAAAUAUCUUGGAGGACAGACCUAAUUUACAUUCAGAAGCAGGGUUAGGUUUAAGCCAAACACCAUCUUAUUCUGAUCUUCUUGCAAGGAACGUGUUUUUUAUGGUAUGUAACUCAGCCUGAGUGGUAGAUUAAGGAAGCAGAAAGAGCCUUUUCGUGUCCGCCGCAGUGUGCCACAUCUUUCUCAUCCUGUUCCCGCUGCACACCUUUUGGCAAAACACUUCUCUCAGAGCAGGUCCUUGUCCUCAGAGCCCUCCCAUUCUGGCGCCGUGACAUUACAAGUCAAUCUCUCAUCACGCCUAACCUCAGCAGAGAUACAAAGAAGCACACAAUUCUGCAUUGUCAGCCUACUACUUUCCAAACUUAAAGGUUGAAAAGCAGCAGAAUUAAUACUAGAGUCUGAUUACGAGCUGUGACUGCCACACUUAGGGCUGAGGGCUGACUUGGGGCUCAUUUGUGGCCCAUCUACAUUGAGCUUUGGUGCUCCAGAGGCAUCAGCAGGCUUUUAAAUCUCAGGAGAGAAGGACAAAGCAAAAAGAAAGGCUGGAUCUGUGCUGUGUUGUGCUGUUGAAAGCUAAGGAAAUGCUAAAUGUUAAAGAAGACCUGUGCUCAGCAGGUGAUGCAGCCUGGCUUUGGGCUUUCUAGCCAAAUUACUGCCAAGUUCUGGCAGCAAUCUGCCAUGCAGAGCCAGAGCCAUCUGACUGUUUGUGAAUCAUUUCUCAAACAGAAAAACAUAUGUAAAAGUUUUGCUAGGAAUGGAUGCUCCAUCCAGGGGACGGCCUGCACUUGGAUCUGAAAACACCUGCAACACUACAGCAUGACCCAGAGCCAAAAGAUGAUCCAGGCACCAAAUCAACAAGGUAACCCAAUGUACCCCACACCCACAUCACUGUGACAUCAUGUCAGAAACAUGAUGUCACUGUGCUGCCUGGAUGCUGGGGAAUGCAAGCAGAGGGGAUACCACCACUGCUGCUGGCAGCAGCCUGCAGUCAUCCUGAUUAGUCCUACACAUGAGGCUGCAACAAAGCACUUCUUUCCAGCCUGUUCCCAGAGCCCUGAGCUUUACUUGAGGUUCUUACACCAACUCAAGACACAGCAUAGCCCAUAUCUGCUGUUUUGCAGGGCACACUGAGUCUGUUACAGGUAGACUGGCCAGAGGCCAGAGGCAGAGUAAAUCUCAAAAUAGGAGGACCAAGCAACUAGAGGAAGAGAGCUGAUUUUGACUCCAGUAAGCUGGCACAGAUACUUACUCCAAAGUUUGGGACCCACUGUUCUGUAAACAGUGAGAGCCAGAAUGAUCUGCCAUAUUUCACAGUGUUUACACAGUAACCAUAUCUUGCAAAAAAACCUAAGCUUUGGCACAAAAAGAUUGUUUUUUAAAUAUACUUUUAUGGCAAAUUAAAGUUAAAUAAAAGCUUGUGAAUGCAAAGAGAAUAAAUGAGGCUUUGCUAGCUUGCAAACAAUGGAAA